UCUCCGUUGGUGAACCAGCGGAGGGAUCAUUAUCGAGUUUAUAACUCCCAGACCCUAAGUGAACUUACCACUUGUUGCUUCGGCGCGCGCUUCGGUGCCACCGAGGACACUUAAACUCUUUGUUUUUAUAAGCAUUUCUGAGUGGCCGAAAGGCAAAAUACAAAUGAAUCAAAACUUUCAACAACGGAUCUCUUGGUUCUG
rnacentral:misc_RNA from 1 species